AAGCUGUCGCCGACCUGCGCGGGGCGGAAGUCCUGCUGGACUGCCUCCUGGUAGGGAAGUCUUUCGGGCGUCAAGAAGCUGGAGAGCUCGGCCACUGGGCAGCUGUCUCCGAAGAGCCUGGGCGGGAGGGGCAGAAGAGGAAAGGAGCAGUGACCAUCAGAGCUACAAUCCAUCUAAGCGCUGGCUCCUCCUCAAGUCUGUCGUCGAUGCUCGCCCAGCUCGUCCAGGUGUGAACAGCAUCCGGUUCCCUCACUGAAAGUCGCCCCAGGAGGCUCCAGUCUCCACUCUGCUGCAUCCUGGUAUACUGGCUGAGGGAGACGUGUGGAGAAAUUCCAAAUACUGGUUCUCACCUGAUGAGCCCGCAGCAAGGCGGUCCUCCGAUACAUGUAGUCCUCUGACUUGAUCACAUAUACCAUCUUGUAGGAAUUCAGCUUAAAUCUACACUCCAGUUUAUCCAGGCUAUCCGCGUUCUCCAUGGUCUUCUUGCUGUUUCCUUCCUUCCCCUCCUUUUCCUGCUGCUCUCGACCACGCUGACACUUCCGGAUCCGCCGCAGAUUCCUACAAAGCAGCAAAGCCCUGCAGCGUGAGAGUUCCUCCAGAUCCAGAUUCCCAUGACUGCCCCCCACCCCCAAUUUUUCCUUAUUAUAUGCCUUCAUGAAGCUGAUCACAACUACAUACAUCUAAAAAAAUGUUCAAUGGUUUCAUUGUUAAAAAAAAUCUUUUUUCAACUGCAGAGAUAUGUGGAAUAAAAAGUAGAAAUUGCCAACUACCCCCUACCCCAAUUCUCAAAAUCCCACUUGCCUUGGCAGGGGUAGCCACUGUUGGCUGUUUGGGUUUUUGUUUUUUUAAAUCUAUUUUUGGCUGUGCUAGGUCUUCGUUACUCCAUGUGGGCUUUCUCUAGUUGCAGCGAGUGGGGGCUGCUCGCUAGCUGCGGUGCGCCGGCGUCUCAUUGUAGGGGCUUCUCUUGUGGAGCGUGGGCUCAGUAUCUGUGGCACAUGGGCUUAGUUGCCCCUUGGCAUGUGGGAUCUUCCCGGACCAGGGAUUGAACUACUGUCGCCUGCAUUGGCAGGCGGAUUCUUAACCACUGGACCACCAAGGAAGUCCCGCUGUUAGCA